CCGUCAGAGUAUAAAAAUUAUAAGUAUAAAAUUGUCAAAUUAUUUUUAGGAGACUGAGAAUAAUCUCUUAUUACGGUGGGUGCAUGAUUAUUGUGAAGAAAAACGGAUAGCGGUGGAAAGCGGAGUAUCUCGGUUUUAGUUGAAAAUGGCUACAGCCUUUUGUGUUUUUUUACGUAUGUGUGUGUGUGUGUGUGUAUGUGUGUGUGUGCGUGUGUGUGUAUAGAUGUGUGCGAAUUUUGAAUAAUACUCUUUAUCGUCGUUUAGCAGUGUAGAGGUACAGCGAACUAACUAAACUUUUAUUUCAGAAAUCUCUAAACGCCCCCGCAAAAAAAAUAAUAAAUAAAUUAUGU